AUUUCUUAGAAAAUUAUAGCCUACCAUAUCCACUUUUCUUCACCUUGCUUUUUAUUUUGCUUAAUAUACCCUUAAUAUGCCACAUAACUGUGGUAGUAUAUACAGAUAUUCCUCAUUCCUUUUACAGCUGCAUAGUACUGCUUUGUGUGGAUAUGUAUAGUUUAUUCAACCAGUCUCCUAUUGAUGGACUUUUGUGUAGUUUGCUGUCUUUUGCUAAUUUGGCAUUUUUCCAACUUCAAUAAAUUUAUUUUAAAAAUGAACAAUAGUAUUAUCAUAAAAUGGAAAACAAAUUAUUCUUAGUAUGUAUAUAAAGUAAAUGUAAAAGUGAAUAGAAAGAAAAUAGAACAUUUUAAUUAAAUUCUCUCCUGUUACUAUUCCUUGGUAAUAUUUUCAGAUAUAGCUUGAUCUUUCUUUAUUAAAAAAGAAAGAUCAACAAGUGAUUGUGCUAAAAAUGAAUGACAACUUUCUUUUUUGUGUGAUCAUAUGAAAGAAAAGAUCAUUAAAAAGGGACUAACUCUUGCAGUAUGUGAUUCAAUGUUACUAAUGCCUUGUCUUUGUAUCAUCAGCAUCCAUGUUGCCUGCCACCAGUGGCAUGAACUUCCCACCUUGAGAGGCUCAAUUCUGUAGCACAAAAGUGUAUAAAAUAAUAGGUCAUAUGUAUUGAGUCUUUACUCUGUGCUUGGAUACUAGUGUAUUAUAUGAUACUCCAAACAGUCCUAUAAGGAAUGUCCUUCUAUUAUUCUCCUUUCACAAAGGAAGACUCUAAGGCUUACUGCUCUAGAUCCCAUUACUCAUAAAUGGGGAUUUGGGUCUUGAUCAGAGUCUAUGCUAACCCCAAAGUCCGUCCUAUCACCACUAUGCUCUAUGGCCUUUCUGAGCCAUGCUUUGUGAUCCCCUCUCUCUGCAAUGUAAGACAAUAGGAUGCAGUGUGGACAGAACUGAUUUUGGGGAUAAAAGAUCUGGUGUGACUCUCAAACAGACCAGUUACUAUUUGUUCUUAGCUGUGUUAGUUUUUGAGGCUUGGUUUCCUCACUUGAAAAAUUGGGAUGAUACACAUUCUAUAAAUAUCCUAGGUUUGUUUUGAGAAUUUCUAUACGGUAGUUCCCCCUUAUCCACGGGGAAUAUGUUCCAAGACCCCCAUUGGGAGCUUGAAACCACAGACAGUACCAAACCCUAUUUAUACUAUGGUUUUUUUCCUAUACCUACAUACCUAUGAUAAAAUUUAAUUUAUACAUUAGGCACAGUAAGAGGUUAACAACAAAAACUAAUAAUAAAGUACAACAGUGAUAACAAUAUACUCUAAUAAAAGUUAUGUGAAUGUGGUGUCUCUCUCAAAAUAUCUAAUUAUACUGUACUCAUCCUUCUUCUUGUGAUGAUGUGAGAUGAUGAAAUGCCUACAUGAUGAGAUGAAGUGAGGUGAAUGAUGUAAGCAUUGUGACACUGCAUUCGGCUACUAUGGACCUUCUGAUGACAUGUCACAGGGAGGAUCAUCUGCUUCCAGACUGCAGUUCACCUAUUCUAAUCAUAGAAGAUGGAUAUAAUAUUGCAAGGCUUAAAAAAAUUCUGAGAAAGUCUGAUCAUAAGUUACGUUACUAAAUAUACAAGCUUGAUGCCCAUGUAAAUGCUUCAUAUUUCAUAUGUGUUCUGACUGCUGGAUAUCUCUUCCUGGCCAUGAAAGACAAUCCUCAAAUUAACAUAUCCACAGCUCAUCUAAACCAGCUUCUCAGCAUUCCGUUUCUCAGUUGAGUGGUUUUAUCGUUUAUCUAGUUGAAUCAACUAAUAAACAGCAUGGCGAAUAGAUUUUACAUUUUCUCAUAAUUUAACAUAAUCACUGAGUGAUGUUUACUUCAUCUCUUAAAUGUAUCUCAAAAUAUUACACUUUAUCCUUUUUACCAAGGUUUCUUAUUUCGUCUGCCACCAGAGUGCAUAACCAAAAACAAAGUUUAGGGGCUGGCUCCGUUGCUGAGUGGUUAAGUUCGCGCGCUCCGCUGCGGCGGCCCAGGGUUCAGAUCCUGGGUGCGGAGAUGGCACUGCUCGUCAGGCCAUGCUGAGGCGGCGUCACACAUCCCACAACUAGAAGGAGGUGCAACUAAGAUAUACAACUAUGUACUGGGGGGUUUGGGGAGAUAAAGCAGAAAAAAAAAAAGAAAAGAAAAAGAUUGGCAAUAGUUGUUAGCUCAGGCGCUAAUCUUUAAAAAAAAAACAAAGUUUAGCUUGUCACUAUUCUACGUGAAACUCUUCAGUGUGAAUGAAGUCUUGUCUCUGAACUGUUGUACAGAAGGAUCUGCAUAAUCUGGUGGUUGCCUCAUGUCUGCCAUCCCAUGUUGGACAUUUAUUGCUUCACAAAUGCAGAUAAUGUUUUUAACCCCAGAAAUUUGCCAUGUUGAUGUUUUCCCUAUUUCUUCUUAUGUUCUUUCUACCUAAAAUGGGUUCCCCACUCCCUAUUACUUCCACUGCUAACUCUUAAUCAAAUAAUCUCUUUAGAUUUAGCUCAGGGUAGACCUUUCUUAGACACUCUUAUAGGCAAUGUUAUAGACACUGGGACCAGCAGAGCCAAGUGUUGCAAAGAAAAUAAACAGUGAGGGGUGAUCUAGGGGGUUAGUUUAGACGGGAUGAAGAGACUGCUUCUCUGAGAAAUGGACAUUUGAACAAUGAAAGGAACAGAGUCAGGGUAGUAGUGUUCCAGGCAGAAGAACAUCAAAUGAAAAAAGAAAAGGCUCUGAAGUGAGAAGAAAUUUGAUCUAUUGAAGAAUAAGGAGAAAGACAAUGUGGCUGCAAAAGAGUAGGCAAAGGAGAGAGUGGUGGGAGAUGGGCUUUGAGGAGCAGAUUGCAUAAUGCUUUAUGAGCCAAGUAAAGGGGAUGGAUUCUGUUCUGAGUGUAAUGGGGUAUCACUGUAGAGUUUGUAAAACAGCUUUAUUGAGGUAUAUUUGACAUACAAUAAACUGCACAUAUUUAAAGUUUGCGAUUUGAUAUGCUUUAACAUAUGUAUACACCUCUUAUAGCAUCACCACAAUCCACAAUUAAGAUAGUGAACCUAUCUAUCACUUGCUGUGUGAUUUCUUCCUCACCUGAUUAGCUUAGGCCCACCCAGAAUAAUCUGUCUUUUGGUUAACUUAGUCAACUGAUUAGUGAUUGUAAAUAUAUCUGUGAAACCCCUUCAUUUUUGCUGUAUUCUUUUUGUUAAAAGCAAGUUAAAAGUCCUACCCAUGCUCGAGGGGAGGAAAUAAUACAAGGACAUGGCUCAUCGCGGGUCGUUUUAGAAUUCUGCCUACUGCAACAGAUCUUCCACAUUUUGUCAUAUUUAUCCUGAAGUGGUUCAUAUGUUUUGAUGCUAUUGUAAGUGACAUUAAAAAAUUAAUUUCCAAUUGUCUGUUGCUAGCAUGUGGACACACAAUUGUUUUUCAUAUAUUGCUCUUGCAUUCUGUAGCUUCAUUAAAAUCUCUUGUCUAAGCCCAGUAAUUCCAUAUAUAGGAUGAUAAUGAAAGAACUUUCUUGUUGGGGUCAUGUGGAGGAUUUAGUGAACAUUAUAAGUAUUUAAUAAAUGUUAACUAUGACAAUGAUUAUUAUGAUUAGCUUUGAGCUUAUUAUUGCUAUGUUUUUCUCUUUUAGUAGAUUGUAAUCUUUUUGAAGUUUGGGAUUAAAUCUACUUUAUUUUUGGAUAGUGUCUACCCACCACAUU
rnacentral:lncRNA from 1 species